rnacentral:rRNA from 1 species
AGUGAACGCUGGCGGUAGGCCUAACACAUGCAAGUCGAACGGCAGCACAGUAAGGGCUUGCUCUUACGGGUGGCGAGUGGCGGACGGGUGAGGAAUACAUCGGAAUCUACUUUUUCGUGGGGGAUAACGUAGGGAAACUUACGCUAAUACCGCAUACGACCUACGGGUGAAAGCAGGGGAUCUUCGGACCUUGCGCAAUUGAAUGAGCCGAUGUCGGAUUAGCUAGUUGGCGGGGUAAAGGCCCACCAAGGCGACGAUCCGUAGCUGGUCUGAGAGGAUGAUCAGCCACACUGGAACUGAGACACGGUCCAGACUCCUACGGGAGGCAGCAGUGGGGAAUAUUGGACAAUGGGCGCAAGCCUGAUCCAGCCAUACCGCGUGGGUGAAGAAGGCCUUCGGGUUGUAAAGCCCUUUUGUUGGGAAAGAAAAGCAGCAGGUUAAUACCCCGCUGUUCUGACGGUACCCAAAGAAUAAGCACCGGCUAACUUCGUG